rnacentral:lncRNA from 1 species
CUCUCUUUAUGACCUCUUCUCUGCUGAUUCUCGGCCUCUUUUUCUCUCAAGCAACCUGUGUGGUUUUCUCUUUGAUUAUGUUGUUCUCAUCUUGGCCGACUCUUUGUGGGUAUGAAUAGCAACUGUAGGUGGGAAGAAGAAAAGUGAAAGUUGGGUGUGUCUCAACUGUGGUGGUGUCGACUUUGGUAGAAACUGAGCCCGGUAUCACCUUGGGUAUUGCUGGAUUUUGGCCUCACUGUAGGGAAGCUAAUUAUUCCCAAAGUUCUUUCAAUUUUCCAUAAUAGUUGGUGAUUGAUUAUUGUUCCUGAUAGAGAUUUGCUAGAUCCCGUUUCAGCUUGAAAAUCUUGGUAUGAUUGCUAUGCUGAAAAUGGGGUUCUAAUUCAACCCGAAGAUCUUUUGGUGUAGCACAAUAGAAAAGACUUAUUGUAAGAGAACGAUCGAUGUAGUGGAGGAGCCAAGACAUUAUCAUGUCGCAGCAUUGAUCCCAAAGAAGGGUAGCGACAUUGGAUGUUUGAUGGUGCCAAGAACAAAAUUGAGCUUGUUUUAGGCAUUCAGGGCUUGGGUAAUUGCACAACGCCAAGUAGAAUAACUGUCGCCAUUGAAGUGUGCAUCGACGAUGACUUGGUUAUGAAACUUUUAUACCUAUGCGACUGAUAUCAUGUUAGAAUUCAUUAUAUGAAUGAGGCAUAUUUUGUCAUCGUAAUUGGGUAUACAGUGGUGUUUAUAAUACAUCUAGGAUCCAUCUAUAGUAGGAAACUAAAUAAUUCUAGGAAUGAAAUAAACUAUUAUAAGGAUAGAAUAAUUACAAUAUAAUUAACAAAGGAAAAAAAAAUCUUUCUAUUUACAUUCAAUAAUUCAAUAUCCUGCAUAUCACAUUAAAUUUAGAAUUAAUGCAAUUUACUUUUUGUGGUUUUUGUAGGUGGCGACUGAAUGAAACAAUAAAUUAAACUGGUACUACAAGUCACAUUCAUAAGCUAACAAAGGACAGAGAGUCUAGAUGUGAAAAGCUCCAAUACCACUUGAAUUUUUAGAUUUAGUCAAUUUAUUUUGACCCAACGUACG